CGGGUGCACUGAUCCAGCCGGGCCUUUCCCUCUGUGGAACCCCAUGGCCUUCACUGGCUGUGGUGGGGAAACAGGACCUUUACUUUGAAAAAAUUAGAGUGCUCCAGGCAGGCCUAUGCUCGAAUACAUUAGCAUGGAAUAAUAGAAUAGGACGUGUGGUUCUAUUUUGUUGGUUUCUAGGACCGCCGUAAUGAUUAAUAGGGACAGUCGGGGGCAUCAGUAUUCAAUUGUCAGAGGUGAAAUUCUUGGAUCUAUUGAAGACUAACUACUGCGAAAGCAUUUGCCAAGGAUGUUUUCAUUGAUAAGGAACGAAAGUUAGGGGAUCGAAGACGAUCAGAUACCGUCGUAGUCUUAACUAUAAACUAUGCCGACUAGGGAUCGGACGAUGUUAUUCUUUGACGCGUUCGGCACCUUUCGAGAAAUCAAAGUGCUUGGGCUCCAGGGGGAGUAUGGUCGCAAGGCUGAAACUUAAAGAAAUUGACGGAAGGGCACCACCAGGGGUGGAACCUGCGGCUUAAUUUGACUCAACACGGGGAAACUCACCAGGUCCAGACACAGUGAGGAUUGACAGAUUGAGAGCUCUUUCUUGAUUCUGUGGGUGGUGGUGCAUGGCCGUUCUUAGUUGGUGGAGUGAUUUGUCUGCUUAAUUGCGAUAACGAACGAGACCUUAACCUGCUAAAUAGCCCGUACUGCUUUGGCAGUUCGCCGGCUUCUUAGAGGGACUAUCGG
rnacentral:rRNA from 1 species